AGUGAACGCUAGCGGGAUGCUUUACACAUGCAAGUCGAACGAGUGGCGGACGGGUGAGUAAUGUAUGGGGACUGCCCGAUAGAGGGGGAUAACUAGUGGAAACGGUAGCUAAUACCGCAUACUAUCGGAUAACCCAUAUGGGAUUAGCUAGUAGGUGAGGUAAUGGAUCACCUAGGCGACGAUCUCUAGCAGGUCUGAGAGGUUGAGCAGCCACACUGGGACUGAGACACUGCCCAGACUCCUACGGAGGCAGCAGUGGGGAAUAUGGCGCAAUGGGCGCAAGCCUGAUGCAGCCAUGCCGCGUGUAUGAAGAAGGCCCUAGGGUUGUAAAUUACUUUCAGUCGGGAGGCGUUACCUACAGAAGAAGCACCGGCUAACUCCGUGCCAGCAGCCGCGGUAAUAC
rnacentral:rRNA from 1 species